rnacentral:rRNA from 1 species
AUUGAACGCUGGCGGCAUGCCUUACACAUGCAAGUCGAACGGUAACGCGGGGCAACCUGGCGACGAGUGGCGAACGGGUGAGUAAUGUAUCGGAACGUGCCCAGUUGUGGGGGAUAACUGCUCGAAAGAGCAGCUAAUACCGCAUACGACCUGAGGGUGAAAGCGGGGGAUCGCAAGACCCCGCGCAAUUGGAGCGGCCGAUAUCAGAUUAGGUAGUUGGUGGGGUAAAGGCUCACCAAGCCAACGAUCUGUAGCUGGUCUGAGAGGACGACCAGCCACACUGGGACUGAGACACGGCCCAGACUCCUACGGGAGGCAGCAGUGGGGAAUUUUGGACAAUGGACGCAAGUCUGAUCCAGCCAUGCCGCGUGCGGGAAGAAGGCCUUCGGGUUGUAAACCGCUUUUGUCAGGGAAGAAACGCUCUGGGUUAAUACCUCGGGGUAAUGACGGUACCUGAAGAAUAAGCACCGGCUAACUACGUGCCAGCAGCCGCUGUAACAC